AUGCUCCGUGAGAGCACUGAACUCUCCCACCUACUGAACUCCCACCUGCUCGUGCACACCCACGCUCACAGCCAGCAGGAAGCCAGAGGAGCAGAGCACAUGCACCUCAUGGCUGCCUGCAGGUGUCAUUCCCCACCGCUCCCGGACAGCCAACUGCCUUGUCACAUUUCAGACUCCCUCUCCCUCCCCUGCCCACCCACUGAGAGACGCAUCUCUUCCUCUCCUCCUCUCCUCUUUGCACAUCUCCGUGUCUGUGCUGUCACCAGGCCCAGGUUGCUGGAAGGAGGUGGCCUUUCUCUAUGGAUUUCCCCCGGUUCCUUGUGGCCAUCCUGCUGCCUGUGGGCUGGGCCCUUCAGCAAUCACCAGAUACAGUUGUCCGGGAGGGAGACCCUGUGACUCUGGAAUGUUCUGGAUCGGGGAGUGCAACGAGGCCCAUGUCCUGGUACAAGUUGCCCAUGGAGAAGGAUGCCAGCAUGCAGUUGGUUGUAUACUCAGUGGAAGGUGGCAAAGCAGAUAUUGAGAAGGAAUUCAGAAAUCGCUUCCAGAGUAAUGGGACUCGGAACAACCGUUUAUCUGUGAAGAUAGAUCAUGCCCUACUCAAUGACUCGGGCACAUAUUUCUGUGCUGAACAAGAUCCACAGUGACUCAAAGGCUGGUGCAGCACAGCACAAACCUUUCCAGGCAAACAGGGAUCUGCCACCAGCACACACUGAGCCCUGUGUUUGACCGAACGCCAUUUUCUUCACUUGCCCUCCAGCUCUUUCUGUAGAGACGAGGUUAUGCUUGUCUGUCUUUCUGUCUGUGCAUCUGUCUGUCUUCUUCAUGGUCUCUAGCAGCUUCUCUAUUCUCUCCCAUGUGGGUAUCACCUUUCUUCUUGUCCUCACUGUCUCACCUCAUUUCUCUGCCAUUCACAGAGAAAUACUCUGUCCCCCUGACCUUUCCUCUCCAUCCCCUGACGCCUUCCUAUUUCCUUCAUUCUCAUCCAUCUCUCCUUCCUUUCAGUCUGCUACCUCAGCUCAUGCAGAAGCACCAUGUGGAAUGCUUUGCACAGCGCCUUCCUUCUCCACCAGCAGGAAGGACAAGGCCAACUGGUCCUUGGCCCCACUGGUCUCCAGGCAAUGGGUACACUGCUGUGCAGCAGGGACCCCAAGUCACACCACUACCCUGGCAUCUGAAGACUCUGAUGUUUGAGAGCUGUCCCUGUGCACUGGAGGGACAGCCCAAGUUGGCCAUGGAAUGUCCCUGGUGACCAGGGCAAGGACUGGGAGGAAGAAGUCUGAGUGAACUCUUCAGCAGGGGUCGUUGGUGUUUGCCAGCAUCUUGUCUGGCCCAUCCACUACAUCCCCUGUUGCUUGCUGCAAGACACAAGGGCUGCCCUGACUUGUUUAUUCCUCUUUAUCUCCAGCAUAAAACAGAGUGCAAGGGCCCAGGGGAAUCUGAUGCUCACGGAAAUUUUCAUAAUCCGUCAAGAACAGAAGCUGGAAAUUCCUUACUGGAGUGUGAGGCACAGGCUUGGUCAGAGGUGCUGCAGCUCAGCCCAUAGCUGUGGGGACAGGGAGGUGCUGUCUGCUGCUCAAGUUGUUGUGGUUUAAGCCCAGUCAGCCACUCGGUGUCACAGACACUCACUCACCACCCCCUUCUCCUGCUGGGAUGGGAGAAAGGGUAAAACUUAUGGGUUGAGAUACAAACAGAGCAAGAAUAGGAGUAAAUAAAAAGGGAAAGAGAGAGAAAUAAAACUCAUCAAAAU
ensembl:lncRNA